CGAGUCUUAACUGGGCGUUAAGUUGCAGGGUAUAGACCCGAAACCCGGUGAUCUAGCCAUGGGCAGGUUGAAGGUUGGGUAACACUAACUGGAGGACCGAACCGACUAAUGUUGAAAAAUUAGCGGAUGACCUGUGGCUGGGGGUGAAAGGCCAAUCAAACCGGGAGAUAGCUGGUUCUCCCCGAAAGCUAUUUAGGUAGCGCCUCGUGAACUCAUCUUCGGGGGUAGAGCACUGUUUCGGCUAGGGGGUCAUCCCGACUUACCAACCCGAUGCAAACUGCGAAUACCGAAGAAUGUUAUCACGGGAGACACACGGCGGGUGCUAACGUCCGUCGUGAAGAGGGAAACAACCCAGACCGCCAGCUAAGGUCCCAAAGUCAUGGUUAAGUGGGAAACGAUGUGGGAAGGCCCAGACAGCCAGGAUGUUGGCUUAGAAGCAGCCAUCAUUUAAAGAAAGCGUAAUAGCUCACUGGUCGAGUCGGCCUGCGCGGAAGAUGUAACGGGGCUAAACCA
rnacentral:rRNA from 1 species